AUGGUGUUCCAGGACUUCUUUACUGGCGGCGUGUCCAGUCUCAAAAUUGAGGUAAAACCACCGCCUGGUGGCUCCCAGCCAGACUCCGGCAGUCUCCACCACCCCUGGGGGGGCAGGGGGUCAUGAUCUAAAGGAACCAGAGCAUUUGCAAAAACUGUCCAUUGGUGGCCUGAACUUUAAAACUACAGAUGAUAGCUUAAGAGAACAUUUUGAGAAAUGGGCCACACCAACAGAUUGUAUGGUGAUGCGAGACCCCCAAACAAAACGUUCCAGGAGCUUUGUGGCUUACUCUUGUGUGGAAGAGGUGGGUGCAGCUCUGUGUGCCCGACCACACAAAGUUGACGGGUGAGUAGUGGAACCAGAGAGAGCUGUUUCUACAGAGGAUUCUGUAAAGCCUGGUGCCUCUCUAACAGUGAAGAAAAUUUUUGUUGGCAGUAUUGGAGAAGACACAGAAGAGUACAAUUUGAGAGAUUACUUUGAAGAGUAUGGCAAAAUUGAAAGCAUAGAAGUUAUGGAAGACAGGUGGAGUGGGAAAAGGAGAGGAUGGGCUUUGUAACUUUUGAUGAUCACGAUACAGUUGAUAAAAUUGUUGUUCAGAAACACCACACUAUUAAGGACAUAAUUGUGAACUGAAAAAGGCCCUUUCUAAGCAAGAAAUUCAGUCAGCUGGAUCACAAAGAGGUCGUAGAGGUGGCUCUGGCAACUUCAUGGGUCAUGGAGGUAACUUUGAAGGUGGUAGAGGAAACUUUGGCAUAAGAGGAGGUUAUGGCGGAGGUGGUGGCAGCAGAAGUAGUUACAGAGGAGGUGAUGGUGGGUGUAAUGAAUUUGGAGGUGAUGUGACAACUGUGGUGGUGGUCCUGGAUAUAGCAGUAGAGGAGGCUAUGGUUGUGGUGGAUCAAGAUAUGGAAACCAAGGUGGUGCAUACGGUGGUGGUGGUGGUGGAGGAUAUGAUGGUUACAAUGAAGGAGGAAAUUUUGGUGGUGAUAACUAUGAUGGUGGGAAUUACAGUGAUUUUGGAAAUUACAGUGGACAGUAGCAAUCAAAUUAUGAGCCCAUAAAGGGGGGUAGUUUUGGUGGAAGAAGCUCAGGAAGUCCCUAUGGUGGUGGUUACGGAUCUGGUGGUGGAAGUGGUGGCUAUGGUAGCAGAAGGUUCUAAACUCAGAAGAAAAGGGCAGGAGAGAAAGUGAGGGUUGUCAGGAAAGCUGCAGAUUACUUUGAGACAGUCGUCCCAAAUCCAUUAGCGGAACUGUAGAAUCUGCCACAGAAGGAGCGAUGAUCCAUAGUCAGAAAAGUUCCUGUAGCUUAAACAGGAAAUCUUUCUUGUUCAGGAUUGCCAUAGCCACAGUUUGCAAGAACUCAGCUAUUGAUUAAUGCAAUGCAGUGUCAAUUAGAUGUACAUUCCUGAGGUCUUUUAUCUGUUGUAGCUUUGUCUUUUUCUUUUCUUUUCAUUACAUUAGAUAUAUUGCCCUGUAAAUUGUGGUAGUGGUACUAGGAAUAAAAAAUUAAGGAAUUUCUAACUUUUCA